rnacentral:tRNA from 1 species
CGUUCCAUGGCCAAACUGGUCUAGACAUCGCCGAUUAGAGUCUAAGAUGCGGGUUCGAGUCCCGCUGGAAUGG